UCGAGAAUCUUCCGCAAUGGGCGCAAGCCUGACGGAGCGAUGCCGCGUGAGGGAUGAAGGUCUUCGGAUUGUAAACCUCUGUCACCGUGGAGGAACACAAUGACUGUACACGGAGAGGAAGUCACGGCUAACUACGUACCAGCAGCCGCGGUAAUACGUAGGUGACUAGCGUUGUUCGGAUUUAUUGGGCGUAAAGGGUCCGCAGGGGGCCAACUAAGUUCGAUGUGAAAUCCCGGAGCUUAACUUCGGAACUGCAUUGGAGACUGGUUGGCUAGAGCAUCGGAGAGGAGAAUGGAAUUCCAGGUGUAGCGGUGGAAUGCGUAGAUAUCUGGAAGAACACCAAAGGCGAAGGCAGUUCUCUGGACGAUUGCUGACCCUCAGGGACGAAAGCAUGGGGAGCAAACA
rnacentral:rRNA from 1 species